rnacentral:rRNA from 1 species
AUUGAACGCUGGCGGCAUGCCUUACACAUGCAAGUCGAACGGCAGCACGGGUGCUUGCACCUGGUGGCGAGUGGCGAACGGGUGAGUAAUACAUCGGAACAUGUCCUGUAGUGGGGGAUAGCCCGGCGAAAGCCGGAUUAAUACCGCAUACGAUCUACGGAUGAAAGCGGGGGACCUUCGGGCCUCGCGCUAUCGGGUUGGCCGAUGGCUGAUUAGCUAGUUGGUGGGGUAAAGGCCUACCAAGGCGACGAUCAGUAGCUGGUCUGAGAGGACGACCAGCCACACUGGGACUGAGACACGGCCCAGACUCCUACGGGAGGCAGCAGUGGGGAAUUUUGGACAAUGGGCGAAAGCCUGAUCCAGCAAUGCCGCGUGCGUGAAGAAGGCCUUCGGGUUGUAAAGCACUUUUGUCCGGAAAGAAAUCCUUGGCCCUAAUACGGUCGGGGGAUGACGGUACCGGAAGAAUAAGCACCGGCUAACUACGUG